AACCUUUACAAUGCACGCAAGUGUGAUAAGGGUAUCCCGAGUGCUUGUCUUUUGAUAAGCUUUUGCCAAGUGUAAGUAGCUUGGCGAAUAAGUGGUGGGAAAGACCGGUGCCAGCCGCCGCGGUAACCCCGGCGCCACAAGUGGCAACCACUAUUAUUGGGCCUAAAGCGUCCGUAGCCUGUUUUUUAAGUUUCUUGUGAAAUUGUUGUGCUUAACAUAACAACGUGCAGGAAAUACUGGAAGACUAGGGACCGGGAGGAGACAGAGGUACUUUGAGGGGAGUGGUAAAAUACGAUAAUCCUCAAAGGACCACCCGUGGCGAAGGCGUCUGUCUAGAACGGAUCCGACGGUGAGGGACGAAAGCUAGGGGAUCAAACCGG
rnacentral:rRNA from 1 species